UGUGUAGGCGGUUUCGUAAGUCUGGUGUGAAAUCUCCCGGCUCAACUGGGAGGGUGCGCCGGAAACUGCGAGGCUAGAGUGUGGGAUGGGAGAGUGGAAUUCCUGGUGUAGCGGUGAAAUGCGUAGAUAUCAGGAGGAACACCUGCGGUGUAGACGGCUCUCUGGACCACUACUGACGCUGAAACACGAAAGCGUGGGUAGCAAACAGGAUUAGAUACCCUGGUAGUCCACGCCCUAAACGAUGCAUAUUUGGUGUGGGUCAUUCAUUUGAUCCGUGCCGGAGCUAACGCGUUAAAUAUGCCGCCUGGGGAGUACGGUCGCAAGGCUGAA
rnacentral:rRNA from 1 species